rnacentral:rRNA from 1 species
UACAGAGACUGCAAGCGUUAUUCGGAUUUACUGGGCGUAAAGGGUGCGCAGGCGGUUGUGUGUGUCAGGUGUGAAAGCCCGGGGCUUAACCCCGGAAUUGCGCCUGAAACUACAUGACUAGAGCAUUGGAGAGGGUAGCGGAAUUCACGGUGUAGCAGUGAAAUGCGUAGAUAUCGUGAGGAACACCAGAGGCGAAGGCGGCUACCUGGACAAUUGCUGACGCUCAGGCACGAAAGCGUGGGGAGCAAAAGGG